rnacentral:rRNA from 1 species
UACGAAGGGGGCUAGCGUUGCUCGGAAUCACUGGGCUUAAAGGGCGCGUAGGCGGGGUGGCAAGUCUGUGGUGAAAUCCUCCGGCUCAACCGGAGAACUGCCGUGGAUACUGCCAUUCUCGAGGGGUGUAGGGGCAUGUGGAACUCAGGGUGGAGCGGUGAAAUGCGUAGAUAUCCUGAGGAACGCCGGUGGCGAAAGCGACGUGCUGGACACCUACUGACGCUGAGGCGCGAAAGCCAGGGGAGCGAACGGG